rnacentral:lncRNA from 1 species
AUGAGGGGACAGCGCCCGUGGGGGGACGGCGGCGCGGCCAGCCGCGUACGACGGGGCGGCCGGACGCGGGACCCAGAAGCUGUGCGGGCCGCUCGCAGGCACCGCGCCCGGCCGGGCGUUCGGGCAGAAGCCCGGUUCCCCGGGACAGUGGCGGGGGGGCCGCCCCGGGGCCGCAGCCGCCCGGGGCACAACAAAGCCGCAGCCCCGCCGGCCCGGGCUCGCCCCCAGCCUCCCGGCCCCGCGCGAACCGGCUCGGCGGACUCCGGACGGCCGGCGACGACGCGCCGCCGGGGCGGUCUGGCCCAGGACGGGCGGGGGCCGUGGGGGCAGGGCGCAGGGCUCCGGUCCGGACACACUUCCUGGGCCGCCCGCGCCCGCUGCUCGGCCGGGCCGCGCGGCCGAGCCGGACGCCCUUCCCGGAGCCGCGGCCGGCGGCGGCCCGAGGGUGGGCGCAGGGAGCCCUGCGGCCCCGCCGGCCCGCGGAAACUUUCCCUCGUCCCGCCGCGGCCCCGGCCACACGCCCCCGCCCUGCCCCUUCACCUCCUGGGGCGCGGUCUACACGCUCCGGGGCGUCCUCGCCCGGGGCUCCGGGGCCUCGCGCGCCGGGGCACCGGGCGCCGGUGGCUGGAGCUGCUGCUGGCCCCGCAGGGACGGGGGAGCCCCGGGCGGCGGCGGCGCGAGCGGCGGCGGCUCCAUCUUCCCGGGGCGCUCACGCCGCGGUUCCAACGCGCAGACCCAAGUGGGACAUUCGCUACAUUGUUGGCAUUCCACGGGCGUCACGUGACCCCGCCUCCCGCGUCACUCUCGGCCGCAUACCAGCCCGGGCGGGGCGCCUGCGGCCCUUGCCGCUCGGCCGCCGGCCCGCUCCGCCCCGCCGCCGCUUCCUGCCUCCCGGUCCGGCCACCCGCGCCCGCCGCCACCUGCCUGCGGCCUCCCGCCGCCUCCUCCGGACCUUUUUGCCAGUGUGUCACCCGGCCCCAAUUCCAGUAUUGCCCCCUCGACUGGACCUGUAUUAAAAGUUGGUAA